UACAGGGGGUGCAAACGUUGCUCGGAAUUAUUGGGCGUAAAGCGCGCGUAGGCGGCCACUUAAGUCGGAUGUGAAAGCCCCUGGCUCAACUGGGGAAGUGCACCCGAAACUGAAUGGCUUGAGUGCGAAAGAGGGUCGCGGAAUUCCCGGUGUAGAGGUGAAAUUCGUAGAUAUUCGGAAGAACACCAGUGGCGAAGGCGGCUCACUGGACUGGUAUUGACGCUGAGGUGCGAAAGCGUGGGGAGCAAACAGG
rnacentral:rRNA from 1 species